CUUUAAUUAAGAAGUACAUCUCCAGAUCAUAAAAAAUUCCAGUACUUCCCUACUAUAAAUAUCCUCAGACUUUAAUGCAUAUUUAAUUGAGCCCUCCUCUGGUGCAUAGACUAUCCGAGGCUUUCAGCUCUGAACCAGACACCCUGGUGGCAACUACAAACCAAACAUGGGGGCAACGGAACCAAAAGCAUGAGUUCAGUAAUCCAGCCAGCAAGCAAACACAGCACUUAUUUUUCCAGUAUUAGAAAUGAGGUAGCUCCAUAUUUCAUGAUUCAAUUGCUUCCACAUCACUUCUUGCUGUUCCAGCUAUUCAGGGUAACAGACAAACAGGAGAUGAGAUGAGAUGAGCAGCUGGUUUAUUUCCAGAACUGACCAUGUACCAGGUGCUAAGAGGCAAUUUCAAAAAAACUAAAAUUAAAACUAAAUACAUUUCCCCCAAGCAUUUUAAAAGGCGAUUUCUGUCCUUUGUCUGACGAUGAACUGCCCUCAUACUCCACUCUUUCCAGUGCAUGUGAGGAUGUAGACUUCUAUUUUUAAAUCCUGCUAAAAAUACACUCAGUUCACAGGGGACAGAAGUAUAUUCUACAGCUGUAGAUCUACAAACAACAUCAAUCCCUCUUUUUUUGGGAGGGUUGUAGCAGCCUACAGUCCCUGCCACAGCUUAACUGACCCCUGUCCCCAUCCUUCCUCCUGGCUGGGGUGAAGACUGUCCAUCACCGCCAACACACUCUGCUGUCGUGCUCAAAGCAGGACCUGGGGAGAAGACGCAAAUCUGUUCUGUCAAGCUGGGAACUGAGUCCAGGAGCAGUUUUUCUGACCAGAGACAAAUAUUCUUCUGAGCACAGGGUAAAAUUCCAGAAACAAAAGAUUUAAAUAUCUCUGUUAUGUUGCAUUUUUUACCUUGUCUGUGUUUCUGUGCUACUUUGAAUUUCAUAACCUUUACCUAAUGGACACCAUAACAGCGAAACUUAAAAUAAGGGAAAGAUGCUGCAAUUGAUUAAGGGGUGAUUUGAAUUGCUAAUCCUGCUCAAGUCAUUACUGAAGAAUGCAACGUUAUCUCCAUUAUGCAAAUCUUUAUCCCAUUCAGUAGGUUAGUAAACACCAUUAAAAAGCCAGGUUUCAGUGUAUGUUGAAUCACUGAGCUGAGUUCUAACAUUCCUUACAAUUACUCCUGAGUUCUGUCUAAUCAUGUUUCUAAUUAGCUGUGAAAGGAAAGAAUAAACAAUGUGUUUCUAUGACAGCAAGGAGCUCAGUGAUAUAAGAAAAAAAGGAGUUACAUCUAUAUUUAGAAGAGUCUUUAACUAAAAAGAUUUUCCCUCAGCUUCCUUAAAUUGUUUUUCAGAAAUAAGUUAAUCUUCCCUGUAUGUGAAGUCCUCAGGGACCGAAUUUUUUUUUUUUUUCUCAAAGACUAUACUAGCACCUGGUGGGAACGAUGAUGGUCACAUGCAAACUCCAAGAAAUUUGGCAGCUUCGCCCAACCUCAUUUUUAAUACAACACAAACUCUACACAGAGCCCGUGCAGUGCUUCCACCAACUUAGCUUUUUAGCACUACAGUCCUUACACUGAACCAUGGAUCACAAAAGUAAGACUAUGAAUACACUGUAAAAUAAGGAGCAGGCUUGGCAUUAAUCUAAACUUGACUGCUGAGCUCAGAAGGAAUAGCAAAAAUUACAAUGAUUUCAAAUGUUAGUUUUAAAUGAUGCCUUCUAUUUACUGGUGUGGUCAUGAUGGGCAGCAGGUUUGUCUUGGGGGAAGGUAGGGAGAGAAAAAGGUUAUGCAUUUUACAAGAACUGUAUGUAAUACAUGAUUAAUUUGAGUUUUAAAUGGUAGCAUAGAAGACCGUGGGUUAUCAGAGUGAAGAAUGUUAAUUAAAUACAGAUUUACAUUUCCCUAAAAAUUCUUUGCAGACUUGAUCACUGUUGUGAAUCCUGCUACAAUCAGACCAAGGGUUAAUUAUAUCCUUUACUGAACAAUAAAAAAGCCACCCAGCAACACAACAUUCAGUGAUGACUUCUGAUGGAGUGCUGCUUUUGACACAAAUUAUGAUGCAGGGAACUUUGUAGCACAGGGAAUGCAUGUGCCAGAGGGGACACCACACAUGGAUGGCAGCUCCCAGCCACAAUGCUGUACCCAACUGCAGGACCUCAUCCCAAAGCUUAGGAGCAGACACACAGUCUCUCCACCUCAUAUUUGCUCUUUCUCCAAGGCCACAAGAAGGCUUCCUCCUUCGGGCAGCUCUGAAGGCUCCUGACUGCCCCAUUCCCUUUUGCACCUUUCUUUUCCUAAAUGAGGAUGUGCAUUCCUCUGACACUGUCAAGCAAGUCCCUGGCUAUUUCAAAUAGCAACCCUAAAGCACCAUAAAAGCAAGCCACUACCCUGAGCCAAGCGUGCUGUUGCUGUGCGUGCUGUUGCUCCUGUAGCCUCCAAAUGUAAGUUACCGAGCUGGUACCAAACCACUGCCACACUGCCUACACUUAGGCAGCUAAAGCUCUUCAUUAGUCAAAUGCAAACAAUUCCAAGUGUGAUUGAAUUUCUGAAAACCAGGGUUAGAUUUAAACUGUGCCCAUUAUUUACCAUGAAAAAUGAAAUAACUACUACCAGUAAAAUGGCUGCAUCACAUAUGUGUCUCUAAUAAAAACUAACGUCCUUCUCUUUGUCCUAAUUUUGUGCUGUAUGCACCUAUCUACACAAUCACAUUUUGUCUUCAAAUGCUUCCCUGUGCAAACAGCUUUCCAGAAGGUCUUUCCAAAUCAUGUUCUAUUCAGCCACAGGGUUCACCAGUACAUCUGGCAUUAGAAAUCCUCUUCCUCCCCUGCUGCUGUCUUUCCUGGCACAGCAGACAAAUUGAUGUGUGAAGUUAAGGGAGGUGGGAGACGGCUGCACCAAGGACCAGUAACCAAGGCACUGAGUCAACAGCAGGUCACUAUGCACAGGGCAAGCUAAAGCAAAAGGUCACUUAUAAUCUGUACAUGCUCAUUGAUCUGCCUUGGGAGGACAAACAUUCCUUGGCAGAGAACUUAUUGAAUGUUUGAAGCCAACGAGCAGAUAGUUUCACAUGGAGGAAAAUUCCCUGGUUUCACCUCUACAAAUAAAUCAGUGCUGGGGAACACAAAAUAUUCUGCUUUCCUACUCAUUCCAGCCCAGCUGGCUUGGAGACUUGGAGACUCAGGGAAUUAAACAGGAGAAUCAAAUCAGAGCAGGUCAGUCCAUCUGCCUUUGUCUGCAACACUUUUUUUGACCCUUGGACAUCCUUUCAAACAGGCUAAUUCUGUAUAAAGUCAUCCCAUUCUCCCCUAUCUUUACAACACCCAUAUCAUAUGCCUGGAAUCCUGCGAUCCCCACGGGCUUCAGCAGUUACUCCAAGAAGAAAACAAUCCAGACAGAGAAGAGCUGUUGAAAGGAUGAGGUAAAGAUGGCCAAAAAUUAAGUGAUCCUCUCUGCUCUGCCAAAUUUUAUAUUAGUUACUUAAUACUGUGUGCACUGCAGCAUAAUAUCCAUGAGCAGAGAGGAGAUAGAUAUAGAUAUAUAGAUCUAUGUAUCCAAUUAUAGCUGAUUUUCUAGAGAUCAGUGACAGUGAAAGCCAGAGUUGAUCUCUCUGGGUUCUCCAGAGGGAAUGGAGGCAGAUAGGAGGGAACCACAACAGACUUCCCUCACCACCUGACAUACAUUAAAAUUGGAGGAGUACUUUUGAAACGCUGCUUACUUGGAUCUGCAAUUGAAUUUUGCCUUAUAAUGAAAUACACAUGGCCACUGGAGCACAAGAUAAGGCAGCAUGAAAAGAAAGUGGCUAAUCAAGAACAAAAAGCCCUGCCAAGGAUGCAUUAUAUAAAUAACAAAUUGUAUACUACCUAUACCAUAAUUUAGCCCCCAUUUCAAGGCAAAGUAAGGGAAAGAUUCUAACAUCAUCAGUCCUGGGCUUGAAGUUAUUUGCUGCCUAUUUUAGGGGCUUUACAGUUUGUGAACCUUUAGGCUUACACACAGUAACAACUACAUUUUUAGUCGACUUUUUCUGUGUGCACACUUUCCACAGUUCUUCUAAGUUCAAAAAUAAAUUUCAUAUUUUAAAUUCCUACAUAUCCAGUCUGAUCUUGAUUCUGGGUUCCUGCCCAACCUGACUUAGUUUCUUCAUAACAACAUCAUCACUGAAAUGAUAUCUUGUUUGUUG